rnacentral:rRNA from 1 species
AUUGAACGCUGGCGGCAUGCCUAACACAUGCAAGUCGAACGGUAACGCGGAGAGCUUGCUCUCUGGCGACGAGUGGCGGACGGGUGAGUAAUACUUAGGAAUCUACCCAGUAGUGGGGGACAACAUUCGGAAACGGAUGCUAAUACCGCAUACGCACUACGGUGGAAAGUGGGGGACCUUCGGGCCUCACGCUAUUGGAUGAGCCUAAGUCGGAUUAGCUUGUUGGUGAGGUAAUAGCUCACCAAGGCGACGAUCCGUAGCUGGUCUGAGAGGACGAUCAGCCACACUGGGACUGAGACACGGCCCAGACUCCUACGGGAGGCAGCAGUGGGGAAUAUUGGACAAUGGGCGAAAGCCUGAUCCAGCAAUGCCGCGUGUGUGAAGAAGGCCCGAGGGUUGUAAAGCACUUUCAAUAGAGACGAAAAGCUCAGGGUUAAUAUCCCUGAGUCUUGACUUAACCUAUAGAAGAAGCACCGGCUAACUCCGUG